GGGCCGAAGGGGAAAAGUAAAAAACACGUCGACGAUCCUUGCUCUCCUCGCAAUCAAGCCUCCCCUCGUCUCCUCUCUUACUCUUACGACCUCUCUCCCCUCGCGACUCCUCGCCGCCGCCGCCACCGCCACCGCCACGACCCAUGCCGGCUGAUUCCGGCGAGUCCCGACGGCGGCUGACACACCAACGGCCUCCCCUGGCCCACUCCUUCCUCCCAUCCGUCCAGAUCCGUCCUCUUCUCCUCGUCUCUCUCCUCCGCGUCUUCCUCCGGGGAGCCUUGCGGCUGCAGCAGGAGGGGAGACAAGGGAGCCGGGCCAGCCGAUUUCCUCGCCGGAUCUGGAGCGCAGGGGCGACGCCAGCGAGUAACCGACCAGGGAGGAGCAUUGGUCGCCGGUGAAGAAAACAUGGGAGGGAGACGAGAGGAGCACUGAUCGGGGGGAGUCACCAGGGCGUCGAUGCCAAGCUGAUCUUAUUCUGGUGAGAGUUUGAUGACAGGGAGAAUUAUUAUUAUUGUUGUUGUUCAAGGUAACUGCGAUGCACAUGAUGCAAGCAUUGUAUUGGUGCAGAGGAGGAGCAAUACUCAGAGUGCGGGAGUUAAGAGAGUAUCUGCUGAAACUAAGGUCACAACAGAUCAGAUCUGAUAAAGAAGAGGAGGAUUUUGAGGAAGAACUUUGUGAAAAUGCAGUCACUUUUUUGCAUUUUGACGUGUUCUGCCAAUUUCUAUAUAUUGCUUAUAUGGUUGCACCCAAGUCUUGGUUAUAUGACUUACAAUGCCCAUGUAAGUAUAUAUUAGAUAUCAGAAUUUGUUAUGUUCAAGCAUUAGAAAGCUGUAAAAUUAUAACAUUUAGCACUAGAGCUCGAGGAAUUCAGCAUCACUGGAUUAAGAGAAAACUCCAAGCCUUUGUUUGAGCAAUACAAAUAAAGUAUUAUGGAAUAUACUAUAAAAUCUAAAAUCAUAAGGAGCGUAGAAUAGUUUACCUGGAGAUUCAGGUGUCUAUAGACGGGUGUGAGGUGCAACCUAUCAUCUCAUAAAUAAAAUAUAUGAACUUGAGGAAAUAUACUUGUGCCGGAUUGUUUGAGAUGUGCAUCAGUUAAGCCCAUGUUGUUGUGAAUUUUGCUGGUCUAUCUAUUGAUGAGGGUGGGAAAUUAUCACUGGUCUACUCCGCUUUCAUGUUAUAUCACUUUUUCUUUAUGCUUGCGAGGGCGUAAUUCAUGUUUUGUGUGCCAACAGUGGCCAUUAUUUUGUCUGACCGUUGAAAAAUUGAGAACGAGAUAACAGUUGAAAGUGGCGUUCGCGUAGGAAAUCACCUGCUUCAUUGACUGUAGGCAGAAGGUACAUUUGGUAUAUAUUCGGUACUCUUCUCCUACUUAUACCAGUUCAGCUUUUGAAGUUCUGUGUUUAGGAUUCAUGUAAUAAAUUAGAUGAUCACACCCACCAAUACACAUGACCAGCCGUCGCUCCUCACGAACACUCCGGAAUGACGUCUUAGCACGUCGUCAGUGGAGGAGAUGACCAGAGUCCUGCACUCAGCGGCUGGAACAGAGGGGCGGAGCAUCUUCUGACAUCCUCAUCUGACCUUAGUUCCGAGAUACUUAGUUUCUUAGUUACAUCCACUCCUAGAUAGCUAUAGAUAGCUAAACAGAUAGGAUUCAAAUGCUUUUGCCUACAAUCCAUGGCUAGCUAGAUAUGGAUGUACGGGUUCAUCUUGAAAUGAAAUAAUCAUUUAUGUAUGUUUGCUUUUGGCCCAUUCAUUUUGUGUUAAUCUUAUCUUGCUUUCUUGUUUUUCGGGGAAUUUAACUUGCCUAGCUACAAACUAUUUAAUUAUGCAUGUGGUCGGCUCGGCCUCCUGCUCCUCUGGCUGGCUUCCACGGCCGCCUACUCUGGUGAGUUCUUGGUCUCCUUUUCCUUUUCUAUUCCCCUACCUAGCCUUCGAGCUAUGGUUGUUGCAUGUCGGUCAUCGAGCCGUGCUAAAUAAUACUAUCAGAUCAUUCUCUGUAUGGCAAUUGGAUGAGAUUAGAUGUUAGGCAAGCACUGCCUUUUUAUGCAUGUAGCAGAUGUAAUUCAAAUUGGCAUGUGUAUGCUGCGUAUUUGCAUGGUUACGAGUUAAGUGUGAAAUUAUCUUUGUACAACCAUAAUUGAUGGCUCAAGAAGAUAAAGAGAUUUGCUUAUCUCUAUUGCACUGUCAUGAUAGUGUCACAUUAACCCAUGCUGAACAACUCAUGCUUCUGUUCUGUGUGAAUUAUUUCUAUUUGAUUAUUUGAUGAGAUCGUACUCAUUUGCUGCUAGAAGUAUUUGUAUUUGAUUUUUUAUGACAACUAUUUCGAUAAGGUUGGAGCAUUGGGGAAAUUUCAUGCUUUGCAUAGGGGUUAGAAUAGUUGGUCAGAGAGCUAUGAACUUUAUGGCAUUAGUGUUUUCCUUUUACUGUAAAUCUGCAAAAGAGGGAACAUAUACAAAUAUACCUAUUUCAUAUAGAAGAAAUUAGUUCUGUUCCCGCAAGUUCUUCCAUUUUGUAACAGGUUUUUAUUUUAAAUCAAAGCUCCGUCAAGCAAAAUAUAUUACUAAUGUGUCAAACGUCUUGCUUAGUAAUAAGUGUUUGUUCAAUAGAAUGGCCCUUGUGACCAGAACUGAAAUCGUUUAUCUGGGAUGAACUAUAUAUAUAUAUAUAUAUAUGGAUCAAUUGGUAAUGAAACAAUUUGCAGCCUCAUAUAGGCUCUAUUUCAGAUAGCAUAAGUGUGCCAUGCUUUGGAUUCAAACUUCUUUUUCGCAGGAUGUGUUGCCAACAAUGUAAGUGAUCAUGAGACUCACUUCUCCCACAGCCUUCUCUUGUCGACAAGGCUCGAUGCUCCUGCUUCUUGUGACCCCAAAGUCAAGGCGCGACUCUGCUACAACCCUAAGACUCCUCUAGAUGGGUUUUCCCCCUGAUUUUUUUCACAUCCUCUGGAUGAACUUUCUUUACUGGAAUUUUUACUGUUUUGUCAACUGAUGUUUUGGAGUCUAAGCAGUUUAUGUUUUUUACAGAUUGAUAUGUACCCCCUAUACUGACAAAGUGGGUCUUUCAAUGGAUGGGUCGAGUCAAAUGUAUGCAUAUAUAAAUAUACCACACCUGAGUUCAGUUGUGUUUUCUCAGAUUUAUGUACGAAUGACACCUGUUUUCAUAACUUCUUUACAAUCAAGGUCAUAGGAUGCGAUUGAACAUGCAACAACAUACCUCAUUCAGCUAUGAUGUUAGCCUUUUGCUUUAGUUAUCAGGCAAAAUUUCUUGCGUUUUGUACCUUCAUGUGCUCUCGUUCAAACGUCAAUGAUGGUUGGGAAAUUUCUGUUAAAUGUGGUUAACAAUAAGGAUAAAGUCGACUAUAGUUAGUUUGCUUUUCUAUUGCUGGGUAAUCUUCUUAUUCCAUCAUUUUAUAGGUAUUUUUAUGUUGAAGGUAUCUUCUCCAGAGCCGAUGGUAUUUCUUUCACAAUACUGAUCUGAUUCUUGUCUGCUCUAGGUGUCACUGUCAUGGCUUGCUUGACAUUACUCGGAUAUAUGUCAGGCAGUGGUAACUGGUAACCUUCUUUUGAUGGUUGUCGAAACACAUCUUCGGUCACACAUACACCAUCCGAGGUAUUAAAUAACCUAUCAUCUCAUUUUUAUCGUCGUGUAUUUGAGGGAGAUGAUACGGCUGCUCUUUGCGUCCAAUGUACGUGCUCGUCUCUGGCUUAAACGGGCUUGGGGCUGAGACCGGUGCGUGCCUCCUUCACUAUGUGUGAUUUAAUCAUGCAGUGCUUUAUUUAGUACAUUGAUAUUCUAAUGUACCCGUCGUUCUGUUUUUCUGCUCUUAAAUAAUUGUUGGUAAUUUGGAAUAUGUGAUUACUUGCUUAGUUGCUGAAUUGAGAAACAUAUGCGAUUACUUCAAUUUAUCCCAUAUAUGUGCAGACAGGGCUGAGUUGCUAGAUAGAAAUAAAUUUGGUAAUAGUUAUCUGAUGUCUAAUUUAUUCAAACAGAGUGAUAGCCUUAAACUGCUGACAUAUGCUGCAUGAUCAUCAGGUUGUUUGCUGCAUUCUGAGUUAGUGUCACAUAGAGAAAUGCAAAUCAUAUAUGACCCUUUUCUGCUUGUUAUGCAGAUUUACUUGUAUUUUUUGUGCUCAGAAUUCCCAAGGCUUGUCUUUAUUCUAAUAGACAAGGCUGAUUACUUCAAUGCACUAUGUGUUGUUGAUUGUUUUGUGAUCCUACUUCAUGUUUACAUUGGUAGGGUUUGUAAUUGCCACUAGAAAUAGGCGAGAAAAUGGUACUACAGGUAGUUGAUUGCACUUUACUGAUUUUGCAAACCGUGAUAACCGCUGAACUGCUUGUUGCUUUGGUGAAUCUAUUUAAUGUAGUGCUCUAUGGAGAUGGAGAACAUAUGUCAAGAUGUUUAUGGCAUAGUGGUUGCGCCACAAAAGUGUUUCCUUGCUAUGAAUCAAAUUUGCAAUCCAGUGCUUUUGUCUCUAUUGCUAAAUAAGGACCUUCGCGAUUGGCUGAUGAGGGGAUGCCCAAGAGGUCCGUGGUAGGGGUGGAGCAGCAAGGCCGGAGACCCAGGCGGCGGACGCCUCACGGGUAGAAGAGUGGUUGACGAUGUGGACAAGGAGCAAUAGUGUCAUGGAUACCCUUUAAACUUUCCGUCGUUGUGUUUAGCACUUCAUGUCCUAAUUGAAUGUUGAAUUCUUGCCACUAUAGAAACUUGCAGCAUAUGUUGAUUAAUUAUUUCAUGAGUA